GAUGAACGCUGGCGGCGUGCCUAAUACAUGCAAGUCGAGCGAACAGACGAGGAGCUUGCUCCUCUGACGUUAGCGGCGGACGGGUGAGUAACACGUGGAUAACCUACCUAUAAGACUGGGAUAACUUCGGGAAACCGGAGCUAAUACCGGAUAAUAUUUUGAACCGCAUGGUUCAAUAGUGAAAGACGGUUUUGCUGUCACUUAUAGAUGGAUCCGCGCCGCAUUAGCUAGUUGGUAAGGUAACGGCUUACCAAGGCAACGAUGCAUAGCCGACCUGAGAGAGUGAGCGCCCACACUGUAACUGAGACACGGUCCAGACUCCUACGGGAGGCAGCAGUAGGGAAUCUUCCGCAAUGGGCGAAAGCCUGACGGAGCAACGCCGCGUGAGUGAUGAAAGUCUUCGGAUCGUAAAACUCUGUUAUUAGGGAAGAACAUAUGUGUAAGUAACUGUGCACAUCUUGACGGUACCUAAUCAGAAAGCCACGGCUAACUACGUG
rnacentral:rRNA from 1 species